AGUUGCGAAGGCGGCUCUCUGGACUGUAACUGACGCUGAGGCACGAAAGCGUGGGGAGCAAACAGGAUUAGAUACCCUGGUAGUCCACGCUGUAAACGAUGAGUACUAGGUGUCGGGGGUUACCCCCUUCGGUGCCGCAGCUAACGCAUUAAGUACUCCGCCUGGGAAGUACGCUCGCAAGAGUGAAACUCACAGGAAUUGACGGGGACCCGCACAAGUAGCGGAGCAUGUGGUUUAAUUCGAAGCAACGCGAAGAACCUUACCUAAGCUUGACAUCCCAAUGACAUCUCCUUAAUCGGAGAGUUCCCUUCGGGGACAUUGGUGACAGGUGGUGCAUGGUUGUCGUCAGCUCGUGUCGUGAGAUGUUGGGUUAAGUCCCGCAACGAGCGCAACCCUUGUCUUUAGUUGCCAUCAUUAAGUUGGGCACUCUAGAGAGACUGCCAGGGAUAACCUGGAGGAAGGUGGGGAUGACGUCAAAUCAUCAUGCCCCUUAUGCUUAGGGCUACACACGUGCUACAAUGGGUAGUACAGAGGGUUGCCAAGCCGUAAGG
rnacentral:rRNA from 1 species